UACGGAGGGUGCGAGCGUUGUCCGGAAUCACUGGGCGUAAAGGGCGCGUAGGCGGCCUGAUAAGUAGGGGGUGAAAUCCUGUGGCUUAACCGCAGGGCUGCCUUCUAAACUGUCGGGCUAGAGCACAGUAGAGGCAGGUGGAAUUCCCGGUGUAGCGGUGGAAUGCGUAGAGAUCGGGAAGAACAUCAGUGGCGAAGGCGGCCUGCUAGGCCGUAACUGACACUGAGGGACGAAAGCUAGGGGAGCGAAUGGG
rnacentral:rRNA from 1 species